CCGAGUUAUCAACUCCCAAACCCCUGUGAACAUACCUGAACGUUGCCUCGGCGGGACCGCCCCGGCGCCCAUCGCGGGCCCGGACCCAGGCGCCCGCCGGAGGACCCAAACUCUUGCUUUGACAGUGGCAUACUCUCUGAGUCUCACAAACAAAAAAUGAAUCA
rnacentral:misc_RNA from 1 species